UAUAGUUCAAGACAAAUUUACAAAUACAAUGUAAACAUAUUCUUUCAAGUAAAUGAACUGAAUAUUCUACAUUUUCAUAAAGAAUAAAGUAUCCUUUAUUAAUCCCCUUGAGGAAAUCCAACCCUGUGGGAGCUUUGUGCGGCUGCAGAGGCGCCCGAAGUAGAAAGAUAAAUGUGUGUGAGAGAGACAGACGACCAGCAGGCCAGAACGCUGCUGUUCCCUGUCUUCUCUCAGAUUGACUCAACGUUUCCUCUUCUCACACUGUCACGGUGCGGAUUCUUGGGGGGGGGCGUACAGAUUCAAUACGUUUUAUUGGUUUUCUUUAUGCAGAAUCUGCGAGCUCUCCCGGCGUCUCGCUCUCUCGCCGUCGAACUCUCCUCCCGCUCUCCGCUACUGCAUUUUAAAACCACAAUACAAACAGUUAGUGUGCAAUCAGCUCAGCUGAGGCCAAUUGCCUCCACCUGCCACCGUUCCCUGAGCCACUCCCUUCUCCGUCCCCUCUGCAGCCGAGCCCAACCACGCCCGCCACCACACACACCAACCACACUCGACUGGUAAGGCACUGACGGAGUGCUGCUGGAGGAGCUGGUUAAACACGGGAAGGUGGUGUCCCCGUUUAAAAAACUGUCCUCAGGGUGCAAGUCACCUUUAUUGAGGCAUGUGGUGUCUCAUAGGAGGCAACUCCACAUGGUCCUCACCAAACCCCAGCGAGUGUGGGAGGGGGUGAGGGCCAGCCGGGCGGGCAGGUGGGUGAGGAGGAGAGUGUGGGAUUGGGUGAGGGCCAGCCGGGCGGGCAGGUGGGUGAGGAGGAGAGUGUGGGAUUGGGUGAGGGCCAGCCGGGCGGGCAGGUGGGUGAGGGGGUGACUGUGGGGACGGGUAAGGGGGUGAGUGUGGGAUUGGGUGAGGGCCAGCCGGUCGGUCAGGUGGAUGAGGGGUCAGAGGGAAUGAAUGUCAGAGUGGAUGGGGGGUUGAAUGCAACCCAGCGGGCAGGUGUGUGUGACAGAGUGGAAGAGGGGAUGGGGGCACUCGGUAGUGGGGGAGCUGUUCGAGGUGGAACCUCGGACAACGAGGAAGAUAUGGAAGAGGGGGGGGGUGGGCUUUACGGCCCCCCGCCUGAAGAGGAAGACGAGGGCCAACAGGGGAGGCUCUCGGGCAAAGAGGGGGGGGCGCAGAGGGAAGGUGGGGAGUCAGAGUCCUCUUCAGGGUGGGCCUCUAACAACAGCGUCUCCUCAGGUGGGACGGUCACCAGCAGGCACGGGGUGGGGCGGAUGAAAUCGUUCCUGCUGGCCACCAAGAAUCAGAGAGGAGUGGAGCUGGAGGACUACUUCUCCGACUUCGCUCGCUCCGUUCAACACGGCUGCACGAAGAAGGGUGCUGCAGAAUACACCCAGCGGGAGGUCCUCCGACUAAGGAAGAUACACCUCAAGAUCACCAGGGAAGGAGGAAAUGGGACUGAGUGAGGCGUCCGACCGGCGGAGGAGGAUCCCGAGCGGGAAGACGGGCCAAUGAAGGAGAUGCUGGAGAACGUCGGAGUCCAGAUUUGCUAUAGUGCUUAAUUCCUGCAAUUGUUUUCAUGUAAAAUAAAGGUUUUCUAAAAAUCAAAAAAUCUCGCGCUGUGUGUGUGUGUGUGUUUUCAAGGUGCCCUGAGCUCGUAUUAUAUAGAUCUGUAUAUCGGGUAACCAGCCCAUCGACACUCUCCCCUCUGCCGUGCUGAAUCUGCAAUUCGAUGCAGGUUUCUUGUUGCCAAUGUACCUUAAACUGGCCCGAAAAUAGGUUUCUUGCAUAUUGAUCGCUGUUGUUUGGUUUCCAUUCAUAGCUUACUUGCCUCUUUAAUUCACAUCUUGCCAGAGCGUCUUUGCAUUUAUUCUGUUUUCAAUGAAAAUGCUGAUUAUUUACUCUGCGAAAGGUCGGAAAGUAAUGAAAGAAUUCCAUCACAAUGUCCUAAAGACACUGGACAAAGACAAAGACAAGGUGAGGCCUUCAAAUGUCGUGUAUUUUCUGACCAAUAGUCCAAAUCCAAAACAUAUUUGAAUGUUCCAAAACAAAGAAAUACAGCAUAUUGUGACACUUAUUUUUUUAAAUAAUUGCGUUUUUGCUUGCUCCCUGUCCCCACAGUAUGCGUGUAUAGAUGUGGCAUGAGUGUGUAACUGUCAGCAUGUGCGUGCUUCUACAUGCCACAUGUAUGUGUGUAUGCAUUUGUGUGAAUGUAAAUAAAUGUCCAAGUUUUGCGCCAGUGAAGUUCAUGUAAAUUGAAAGUGUGACGCAUUUCAGUGUGCAAGUUUGCGUGCAGCCUGUGUGUGUGUGUGUGUGUGUGUGUGUGUGAGUGUCUUUGAGUGUGUAUCCUCCAUCUCACACGGGCUGAUGGGUACCAGACGUAUCCACGCUGCCUGGCGCCUGGUCUCCGGCCUUCUACAUGGAAACAGUUAGGAACUGUUACGUCAGCACGCGAUGGCGCUCUCCCUCCGCUUUUCCACUCGCACACACACAUUGAAGUGUGCUCACACGCACACACAUAUUUUCACAGAACACGCCCACUUUCUCGUCCUACUCUUUCCUCUCUUCCUGCAGCUCCUAGCCGGGCACCACCUUCUCAAACGCACACACACACACACACACACAACGCACACACACACAUCGCACACCAUCAUUGCUCGAAAAUUGCGUCAGCGCAGCAUUCCACACUUUUCCACGCAUCACCGAGGACGACAGACUCCAAACUGCAUUUUUUUGUCCUUUUUUUUUCCAUGGAAAGCUCUUGUCCUUAUAUAACUAUUUUGGCAGCCUGCUUGUCCUACAAUUUCUGUCUGUCUGUCCGCCUCCCUCUAACCCCUCUCUCAUCCCUCUCCAUCUCUCACGCAAGCGGGCGCAAACCUGCCGUGCAGAGCCGAGGUGGUUCCUCUCCCCUCGGUGCCGGGCCACCAGGAGUCCUGGUACAAACACAUGGGUCCAAUAUCCUCUUCCUGCUGCCGCCCUCGUGCAGCCAAUUUGUGAGUCUGUCUUCAUUUCAACGUGACUUUCAAGUCACCCCAGUGAAAUGAGCUGGAUAAAUAAAAGCAGGCAAAUCAUUAGGGCGCUUUCCUGCAGCAGCAGCACCCGUGUGUGUGUGUGUGUGAGGCCUGUGGUGAGGAGGAAACCCCGGCUGGCCCUGAGGCUCAGCAGGCCUCAGGUAAUCCAAUUUAAUGCCACAGCCACCUGCUUAUUACACACGGCAGCGUUACAGCAGGACGAGAGGGGGGCGUCUAGACGGUGCAAAUCCCCGGAAAAAUAAAGAAAGGCUGCAAGAAAGUCAUUGUUCUGAACAACCACAAAAGCGCUCACAGAAAUGGGCUAAAGUCACAAUCAGGGAUCCGUCCGGUUAUUUGACGUUCAAUAUCAUUUCUGUCUUCGGGGGCGACGGAGCAUGAAGGCGCUUAAUUUGUGCACAGACACCAGAAAGUAGAUGGAUGAGCUUUUUGUGAUUACGCAGGCAGCUGUUGUGUAACCGACUGCUGCCACCUACUGCUGGCUCCCAGUCAGACGCCGCGGCUUCCUGUCCCCCGGCGCGACGGUGAGAGCUCAGCUUCUGUUCUCAGCAACCCGCAUAAAAAAAUGAAUGGAUGUAAAAUAAAAAGAGAGAAAUCUACAUCUAGAAUCCCGUUCUGUGUGAAACGGUGAGGCCCUCCCUCUUUGCUUUUGAUGAGUGGGCGUGUGUGUGUGUGUGUGUGUUCAAAGUGCUGACUAAAGCAGCUGGUGGUGCUGACAUCUGUCUCUGUCUUUCUGAUGGUGGAACAAACUGCAGCUCUCUCCCAACAUCAGCCCUAUCAGCACAUCUCUGCCAGGGUCUGAAACCCCAUCAAUGCAUUGGCACACAUACACACACACACACGCACACGCGCACACACACACACACACACUGCUUCUGCCAUUGUAGUCGGAAACACAGGGCAUAUAUCCCAUAUCUCGGCGUCUGCACUUCCAAAUACCACAUCCCGGAUAACCACCGGAGAAGAUUUCAGGGGGGGUCGCGGCGCAGCGGACACAAGGUCAGACACGGUCUCAUCACUCGGGAUGGGGACAGUGUGAAAACCAGUAAGCGUUUACCCAAACUAUUCAAAGACAAAGCCAGUGAGGUACGAUUACAGCCCUUUGUUUAGUGUUUAAAGUUGCAAUGUACGGGAUUGAGUGCGUUCAUAUUGUAGAAAACAAGUUUUUCCUGUUUUUCUGCUUUAAAUUUGAAAAUCUUAUAGUUAGCAGAUUGAAUAAGGAUUUGUAUUUUGAAAUCAAAUAUACAUAAAAGAGAACACCCCUUUAAUCUUUGAUUGAGAGCAUCAAGAGCACAACAUUACGUUUUUUGAAAAUGGAAAUGUCAUUUAUUUCUUUAAUUUUUUUGUUUUUUUACAGCACUUAUUACAACAAAUCAAAAAUCUACAAAUACAAAAUGUCUUAAAUCCGACAAAUUUGAAACAAAAACCAAAUCUGUUCCCAGUCCAAACAACCAUCCAUAGGUCUGGAGUUUGAGGAGGACUUAACGAGGACAUGCUGACUCGUGUGUUGCAAAGACAAAGACUGAAUCUCACACGCAGCCCUGCUGACACACAGUGUGUGUGGCUGCCCUCCUGUUAUCAUUUCUUCUCUCCCUGCCCAUGACCUCAGAGCCACAUGCCAGCUAUUUCUGUUCAAUUGCCGCUGGCAGAAAGUGACUCCAUGUCUGAUUUGCUUGAAACAAAAGGGGGGGGUGUAGAACUCUGUGCAUGGAAAAUCUGCUGCAUUCAAACCGUAUGCUUUGGCUGAAUACUGAAGCUGGGUUUGGGUUUGAUGCAGCGGAGGCAGGACUCAUACCCUCAGUCUUUUUUUUUCGUCCAACAAGCCUUCUGGGUUCACUUCUAUCCAUAGGUUCUUAAAUAGGUUCUUCUCAGUAAUAAUUCAAUAUUGGCAUCUCUUGCCGCCUUGAUGGGACCGCUGGAGCCAGGUAGGUCGGCAGACGUGGUGAGUAUGUGGCUGAGACUGACUCAUACAGCGAGACAUCAGCCGUCAGCCUGGAGCCAGCGAUGACACAAGCACACACACACACACACAGACACACACACACACUCGUAUUAUGCACUGAAUCGACACAGACUUGGCGGUGCCGACAAUACGAAACCCAGUCACAUGAGUGGCCGUUAUCAUCACCUUUAAUUAUGUGAUCAUUGUUGAGAAAGUGAAAAAUGAUGAGACUGUUGACGGUAAAGAAACAGACACACACGGCCGACGUAAAGCCAUUCGGGUCAAUGCCCUCGUAUUGAGAUGAUGUGCUGAUCUUAAGUGGUUGUCCUUAUAAUAUCGGCAGGAUUUGGGAACCAAACACGGUUCAUAGUUUUAGCUGUAUGGGUGCAGCUACUAGUUGCUGCGUAAUUUAUGUAAACACACACGCGCACACACACACUUCUCGUUGCCUCUAUUAAACAUUUAUUAUUCAUGCAAGAGUAAUGUGAGGGGUCUCUGUUUUAAUGCCUCCUAAUGGCUUUUUGAGUUACUGCUGAAAGCUAUGGAUGAAUCACAUCAGUCACCGGGGAGCCGGUUCCUCACUCACGGAUCUAUAGGUAUGUGGUGUGCGCUCCUGUUUGUGUGUGUGUAUGUGUGGGAUUCUAUAAAAAAAUAUAUAUAUACAUAUGUGGGUACUUUGUAAUAUGUUAGUGUAUUAGGAGUUUGUGUGUUACAGAAUGCACCACGCAGUCUAAACAAACGUCAAAACUGUCGUGUGUAGAAAUGGUGAGUCGUUACACGUGUUUGAUAUACUUUUGUCACAAAGGGUCAAAAGUGAAGGGGCGGGGCAUACGCAAACCAGUCAAAUGGUCUGCAAUGAGGAACACUAUUUGUUUCAUUUGUGAUGUCAUUGCAGGAAUGAACAGGUGUAAUGAAUCCAACUGAUAAUUACUCCUCAUUACAAAUCACUUUGGGGUUUCAGUUUGAAGAGGCUUAUUAAGCCACUAUUGAGGUAAUUGUUCUUUGAAAAAAAGCCCAUUAACGUGUUUCACGGAGGGCUGUUGGAUUGCUUUACGUUUCAUAGUCUCUCAGCUUAGACGGUGUAUAGGGCUGCUAUGACGUAGGUUUCUCUCGUGCGCCACACCGACUGUGACGAUGUGCAUUGGUAACAUAUCGACCCCUGCACCGCUCUGUAUUGACAGGGCAGGGGAUGGAUUUCAGGAAGUGGCCUUGGGUCACUAAGAGGAGCACCUGACCGGAGCCCGGCUUGUUUUCCCACCGAGCAAAUCUCUGUAAAAAGAGCCUUGCGAGAGGCAAACACAGUCCGCUGGGCUGCUCUCUGAGGUCAUUGCAGACUGAGCAUGUGGGUCGGCCUGGUCACAUUGCUGUGCUGUCAUGGAUUUGGUAACGCAAAGUGUGUCAUAAGUUGUUGGAGUCAAACAGAGUUAACGGGGGGGCGAAGGAGACUGUCAGUGCUGACAGCAAUAGGUUGUAACAAUGGCUCUGCUUCUAUCCCCCAGCAAGCCACAACAGAGCGACGGGGAGUCAGCGUCCACAAUGCCACGAGCCGGAGACUGAAGCAGCCAAAUAACAUUCAGCCAUCAAUCCUUUCAUUUUCUACACGUGUGCAUUUCCUACUGUGAGCUCUUAAAACAAAAGGCUACAAGUGACCAAAGCUUAUAAUUUGCUUUGGUAAAUGGUUAUAUAGGUACAACCAGCAGGACACAGGCUGUACUGAUGCACAGAUAUAACAAACUGCAUCAUCCUUGGCAAAACUGAUUUUUAAUUGGAUCGUUUAUGUGCAUGAUAUCAAUUCACAUCAAAUGAUUGACUGAAUUAUUUAAAAAAGGCUUUUUUCAUUACCUCAGGUUUUAACAUGGCUGUCUUAAAUGUAUGCAUAUUUGUGAAUGUUCUCCAUGUUCUACACAGGCUUUGUGUCAACUAACGCGCCACACUGACCCCGUGUGGCCUUUGUGAGCAUUACAUCAGGUUUGAGGAUUCCACCGGCUUCCUGUCAAUCAUUGCUGUAGCUCCGCCUCUCGCUGACGUGAUUGGACGCAGCUGGAGCGUCAACGAGCCAAUGACGUGGCUUCGCUGCCUGUUAACAGGGCUUUUUCUGAAUGCCCUCUAUGUCACCUGUGUGCCUCUGUUAUUUUUAGAAGCCCGAGGAUGCUGUCAGGAGAAAUGGAGAGGGCGGGACACCAAAAGGGAAGAAGAAAGGAGUCUCCGGACUGACGACAAUCCAGGGUGUCUCGCUCUUAAUGGUCUCUCAAAGAAGGAGGCAGACGGGAAGAGAGGAGACGUUUUUACAGGGCAAAGUGCAUAUUGAUCCCAUCUCUGCAAAAUGCAUCAGUCUACUUGAUAGGUUUCAUAAAGGGGUAAAUGGCAAUAGAAGACGAGAACGAGAAUAGAAGCUCUCAAAAGCUACAUUGAAUAAAUGGUUAGAGUUAAGGCACAUUGGGUAGAUGCAUUACACAUAUUGUACCAAAAUCGAACAAAUUAACUGAAAGAUGAAGUAAAAUGUGGUCCCUGGAUGACAUUUUUUGAUCUUUUAAGUCAGAUGCAGUAUUUGGGAUUUGAUUGUACUGAAGUAAAACCAGCAGAAACCCCUCACGUUUGAUAAGCUUUAACCAGCACUGUUUGGCUAUUUAUUUGGGCAAAUUUCUUUGAAAAUGAAUCAAUUAUCGGGAGGAGGCACUUGGCUCUUUAGACUAUUGCAAUUGUAACCAACACUAAUUGAUAAAAUGUGACUAAAUGAAGACUUAAGACUUUGGUGUAGGACAAAACAUAACUAUAAGUCCCCUCCGCCUCUGGACAAGCGAUGCUGAGAGCAAGCCGAGCACCAUGGCUGAUAGUAAAUAACAAUUUAGCCAGUGAUACUUGUAACUGGCCCACCUGCACAGGUUCACAGUGAAGAGUCAGUGCACACGAAUGCCUUC
ensembl:lncRNA